AGCUUGGGCAAAGUACAGCUGCUUCCUGGUUUCAGUUUUAAAGGAGUGAGUUGGCAGCAGGAUGGAAGGAGGUACAUUUAAGAAGCUACAAAGUGGGGUUCCUCAUAUGGUGACUUGUGCUAACUAUCCACUGGAGCAAUUCCAUGUGAUAGGACCAAAAGCACCUGUCACUGCUUUGGUAGGAGAAGACACUGUGUUGCCCUGUCAUCUCAGCCCAUUGAUGGAUGCUCAAAACAUGGAGGUGAUAUGGUUCCAGGUUCAUCCUUUUGUCCUGGUGCAUCAUUAUAAAGACUUACAGGAUCACAUUGAGCAGUAG
rnacentral:lncRNA from 1 species